rnacentral:rRNA from 1 species
AUUGAACGCUGGCGGCAGGCCUAACACAUGCAAGUCGAGCGGAUGAAGGGAGCUUGCUCCUGGAUUCAGCGGCGGACGGGUGAGUAAUGCCUAGGAAUCUGCCUGGUAGUGGGGGAUAACGUCCGGAAACGGGCGCUAAUACCGCAUACGUCCUGAGGGGGAAAGUGGGGGAUCUUCGGACCUCACGCUAUCAGAUGAGCCUAGGGCGGAUUAGCUAGUUGGUGGGGUAAAGGCCUACCAAGGCGACGAUCCGUAACUGGUCUGAGAGGAUGAUCAGUCACACUGGAACUGAGACACGGUCCAGACUCCUACGGGAGGCCGCAGUGGGGAAUAUUGGACCAUGGGCGAAAGCCUGAUCCAGCCAUGCCGCGUGUGUGAAGAAGGUCUUCGGAUUGUAAAGCACUUUAAGUUGGGAGGAAGGGCAGUAAGUUAAUACCUUGCUGUUUUGACGUUACCAACAGAAUAAGCACCGGCUAACUUCGUG